AGCUUUUAUUAUGUUUACCCUGAACGCGCCCGAUCUCGUCUGAUCUCGGAAGCUAAGCAGGGUCGGGCCUGGUUAGUACUUGGAUGGGAGAUCCUCCAAGUCUUAUAUUCAAAGUUU
ensembl:rRNA 5S_rRNA 5S ribosomal RNA